rnacentral:misc_RNA from 1 species
GAGUUCAUGCCCUCACGGGUGGCAAACCUCACCCUUGUGUAUUAUAUCUUUGUUGCUUUGGCACGCCGCCUUCGGGCACUGGCUUCGGCUGGCUCGCGCGUGUCAGAGGACCCCAAACUCUGGAUGUUAGUGUCGUCUGAGUACUAUCUAAUAGUUAAAACUUUCAACAACGGAUCUCUUGGUUCU